CAGUCGCCGCGGGAACACGGAGGGUGCAAGCGUUAUCCGGAUUCACUGGGUUUAAAGGGUGCGUAGGCGGGCAGUUAAGUCAGUGGUGAAAUCUCCGGGCUCAACCCGGAAACUGCCGUUGAUACUAUCUGUCUUGAAUACCGUUGAGGUGAGCGGAAUAUGUCAUGUAGCGGUGAAACGCUUAGAUAUGACAUAGAACACCGAUUGCGAAGGCAGCUCACUAAACGGUCAUUGACGCUGAGGCACGAAAGCGUGGGGAUCAAACAGGAUUAGAGACCCCCGUAGUCCCUGUCUCUUAUAC
rnacentral:rRNA from 1 species